rnacentral:lncRNA from 1 species
CCUUAUUUGAAAUGUCUUUGUGUAGUUGUUCAAUCAGGGUAAACUAAUUCAUAGUAUACAAUGGGAAGUGAUCUAUUUUCUACUUCUUUAUUAUUAUUGUAUUGUUUUGAAAUAUUUUUGAUAAAUUAGUAUUAAUUUUAUGUGAUUUUAAUAACACAUCAAUGAGUUCCUGAUGAGGGCAGGGAGGUGAAUCCUAAGAACAAUCAUGUGAGUUUGGAAGGAGACCCUUCCCCAGCUGAGCCUCAGCCUGAGCCAUCACCUACAUCUAGACCGAAGACCCAGAGAAACUGCAACAUUUGAAACCCAGGAGCCACUGCUUCAGGAAGGCUCCAUCAGGAACUGUUCAGGACCAUGCACUCUGUUGAUACUCACAUGGUGGAAUUAUAUUGCCCUUGGCCAACCCUAAAGCCAUCAAGAUAGCAG